CUGACCUCGUGAUCCGCCCGUCUCGGCCUCCCAAAGUGCUGGGAUUACAGGCUUGAGCCACCGCGCCUGGCCUGAUUUCCUUAUUUUUAAGAUGAAGAGUGGCCCACCUUCCUGACAGAACGAGUGCCAGAUCAACUGGAAAAGUGGUCACAAACCCUCAUUUGAAAGCAAGUGCAGAAGAAUGGGGCUUGAGGUCAUAUUCACCUUGGCCAUGGAAAUACCAAGAGCUUCAUGCUCUAGGAAGAAGUCCUCAAUGGCUGCUAACGCUUCCAAGUGGUCGGCUGCACGCUUUAUGUAGUUCCUGAAAACAGGGCUCCAGGCCUUGAGCAGCUAUGGAAGAAAGAAGGGAGCUGCAAUAUAUUCCUGAGCAUUCACCUGUACCUGGACAUCCAAGCAAAUCCAUAUUGAUGACAUGGGUGGACAAGAGGGAGAUGAUGCAGGUUCUGUGGAAUUAUGUCGGAGGGACUUGGGAGUCGUUGACAGGGUUUGGGAAAAACAGAUUCCUUAGGGAAGGUGAAAGGGGAUCAGAUGCUAUAGGCUGCCUCAAAAUACCUAUUCCCACCCCAGAGGCUGAUCUUGUGUUGGGUCAAAUCGCUGCCAUAGAGUCUGAAUGUCCAGGUCCAUUCCGAGUAUACCUUUGGGGGCCUAGGAUGGUAUGAAUCCUGGAGUCUCAAAGGCCAGUCAGUACUGAACUCAACCUGACCCCUCUGAACCAGCCAAGACUGCUCUAGAGCCCAACCAGCUUCCAGAGGCAAGGAGAAAGGAACCAGAAGUCAUAUACCCAAUAUAACAGGCUAGUCUACUCCUGAUUUCCUUUAAAGUCAAGUACAGCAAGCAUGUGUAUCUGCCUCUACCCAAUCCCUUGUACUCAGCUCCGAUUUUUGCUCACAGGAAGCAGCAGGGCACAGUAGCGGCUUGAGUCAAGCGGGGAAUCCAUCUGUUGCAGGGGGAACUCCAGGACCACGUGGCUCAGUACCUGCAUCACCUCCUUUAGACUUAUGUUAUAGGCAUACCUGUGGGGAGACUGGGGUGACACCAGGGCCUUCACUGGCCUUUCAGCACGCUUAGAACUAUGACACUGACAGACAUUGAAGAGGAAUUUGGAUGGAAUAUGGAAGGGGAGGGUUUAGGAAGGAGAAAGUCUAUGCUGAGGCUAGAACUUAAUAGUGCUCUCCUUGCUCCAAAUACUACUGGUCUUUCCAUUUGGGAUUUCAAAGGAAUACAUUCCUAUUUGGAGAAGAAA